UCAUUAUCCAUCAAUAGUGCAACACAGUCGGUGGACAACUUGGGAUUUUCAAGGCAGCUUGAUUCUGACUUGGAGCGAAAACGAAACCUUCUGGCUGACUGGGAGGUGGAGGGGAGACCCAGACUGUGGAGGCUGGACUGUGAGGCUCCACUGUCUCUCUUGACGAGGACAGGCUGAUGGUCCUCCUGAUGGACUGAGUCUGACACAGAUCCAUUAUGUGUGGGGCUUGAGGGUCGGGCUGGACCCAGACUCUGGUCACCAUGAUGAUCAUCCAUAGUUCCAUCAGGGAUAGUUAUGGUACAUUCUUGUUGGUCCCUGGUUGGUUCAGGACCAUCAGUGGACCUUAGUGGUGUAGUUUCUGGAAGAGAAGUCAGCAGAGAGUCAGGACAUACAGCCAGCCUCCACAUGCAGCAACACUCACUGAAGACUGAAGCCCAGUGGAGCAGCUCUGCAGCUGGGUACUCUCAGGUGGAGAUGAGGACACAACCACACACACACACACACACACACACACACACACACACACACACACACACACACACACACACACACACACACACACACACACACACACACACACACACACACACACACACACACA